rnacentral:rRNA from 1 species
AGAAUCAACGCUGGCGGCGUGCCUAACACAUGCAAGUCGCACGAGAAAGGGACUUCGGUCCUGAGUACAGUGGCGCACGGGUGAGUAACACGUGAAUCAUCUACCUUCGAGUGGGGAAUAACUGGGAGAAAUCUCAGCUAAUACCGCAUAAUACCUACGGGUCAAAGCAGCAAUGCGCUUGAAGAGGAGUUCGCGGCAGAUUAGUUAGUUGGCGGGGUAAUGGCCCACCAAGACGAUGAUCUGUAUCCGGCCUGAGAGGGCGCACGGACACACUGGAACUGAAACACGGUCCAGACUCCUACGGGAGGCAGCAGUGGGGAAUUUUGCGCAAUGGGGGAAACCCUGACGCAGCAACGCCGCGUGGAGGAUGAAAUAUCUUGGUAUGUAAACUCCUUUCGAUGGGGAAGAUAAUGACGGUACCCAUAGAAGAAGCCCGGCUAACUUCGCGCCAGCAGCCGC